rnacentral:rRNA from 1 species
AUACGGAGGGUGCAAGCGUUAUCCGGAAUCAUUGGGUUUAAAGGGUCCGUAGGCGGAUAAUUAAGUCAGGGGUGAAAUCCCACAGCUCAACUGUGGCACUGCCUUUGAUACUGGUUAUCUUGAGUUAUAGGGAAGUAGAUAGAAUAUGUAGUGUAGCGGUGAAAUGCAUAGAUAUUACAUAGAAUACCGAUUGCGAAGGCAGUCUACUAUCUGUAUACUGACGCUAAGGGACGAAAGCGUGGGGAGCGAACAGGAGUAGAAACCCCAGUAGUCC